ACACGUAGGGGGCGAGCGUUGUCCGGAAUUACUGGGCGUAAAGGGCGCGUAGGCGGCCUAAUAAGUCAGAUGUGAAAAUCCUGGGCUUAACUUAGGGCUUGCAUUUGAAACUGUUGGGCUUGAGGACAGGAGAGGAAAGCGGAAUUCCCAGUGUAGCGGUGAAAUGCGUAGAUAUUGGGAGGAACACCAGUGGCGAAGGCGGCUUUCUGGACUGCACCUGACGCUGAGGCGCAAAAGCCAGGGGAGCGAACGGGAUUAGAUACCCCGGUAGUCCUGGCCGUAAACGAUGGAUACUAGGUGUGGGAGGUAUCGACCCCUUCCGUGCCGGAGCAAACGCAAUAAGUAUCCCGCCUGGGGAGUACGGCCGCAAGGCUGAA
rnacentral:rRNA from 1 species